rnacentral:lncRNA from 1 species
CCUCUUCUUUCUUUAUCCUUUUUUAGUGGAAUAAACAAUUUCUUGCACCUCACAUGUCCAAAAUGUUCUCCAAUAGGCUGAUGCUUCUGAUGCCCACAUGACAAAGAAGGAGAUCAGGAAAACAGUAACACUGGAUUUGAUUCCUCGAGCUUCAUGCACAAGAAAUCAAGGCAUGUGUUCUCUCUUAAAUGCAGACAAACCACAAGAUUCUAAGCAUUUACCACUGCUCCCUCCUGAUGUGGCCUGCCCACUGAAUCUUAAAGAUAAAAAAGGGAACCGAUGGAAUUGUAAAUUUCGGAAGGAUAUAUCUCUAAUUCAACACAAAAAUGUUUGGACUCGAAAGGUCUAAAAUCUAGAAUUCAAACCAAAGUGGGAGUUGAAACCUUUCUUCUUUCCUUCCUUUCUUGCGUGCUUUACCCUUUCAUCUAUCGUGUUGAAUCUUCUUGCAUUUACGUGGCAGCUUCCGGUGGUUGGCCGCAAAAUCCCCCAAAUCAAUUAAAUUAAAUAGUAGUAGUAGUUCAUGCCUUCCUGCCUCGGUACUUUUGCUCUUAAAUAAAUCUUGCAGAUUGACUUGGACUCCUCCAAGGAAACUUCCUAAACGAUAUACGCUUCUUACGCCAUCAAAUGAACCCACAUGAUCCCAACCAUUGAUUACUCUCGCAACUUGUCCUGUUUAGGGUAUCUCUUUGGGGUUUUCGCAGUUGGAGUCCUCGAAUCAUUACUCAAACUUGGAACUCUCUUCACAGAAACAGGUCUUCUUUGACCAUGGAGUCUUUUCCCACCUCCUCUCCUUCAUCCAUCUUAGCAUCCACGGGUCACCUCUCUCUCUCUCUCUCUCUCGUAGUUGCACUACCANNNNNNNNNNNNNNNNNNNNCCCUACCCUCCUCCUCCUUCCUACUCCACUCUUAGUCACUCCACCGGUCGACCUCUCUCUCUCUCUCUCUCUCGUAGUUGCAUACCAGCCAAUGUUGGUGCCAUGUAGAAUUCGAGCCAUGGCCUUCAAUGGUCUCUACCUCAACUGUUCCUUCCUGCUGCUUCUGACACUCCUUGUUCUCGCAGCU